UGCAGUCGAGCGCGGGAAGCGAGCUGAUCCCUUCGGGGUGACGCUCGUGGAACGAGCGGCGGACGGGUGAGUAACACGUGGGCAACCUGCCUGUAAGAUCGGGAUAACUCCGGGAAACCGGGGCUAAUACCGGGUAAUACUUUCUUUCGCAUGAAGGAAAGUUGAAAGAUGGCUUCUCGCUAUCACUUACAGAUGGGCCCGCGGCGCAUUAGCUAGUUGGUGAGGUAACGGCUCACCAAGGCGACGAUGCGUAGCCGACCUGAGAGGGUGAUCGGCCACACUGGGACUGAGACACGGCCCAGACUCCUACGGGAGGCAGCAGUAGGGAAUCUUCCGCAAUGGACGAAAGUCUGACGGAGCAACGCCGCGUGAACGAUGAAGGUCUUCGGAUCGUAAAGUUCUGUUGUUAGGGAAGAACAAGUACCGUGCGAAUAGAGCGGUACCUUGACGGUACCUAACGAGGAAGCCCCGGCUAACUACGUGCCAGCAGCCGCGGUAAUACGUAGGGGGCAAGCGUUGUCCGGAAUUAUUGGGCGUAAAGCGCGCGCAGGCGGUUCCUUAAGUCUGAUGUGAAAGCCCACGGCUCAACCGUGGAGGGUCAUUGGAAACUGGGGAACUUGAGGACAGAAGAGGAGAGUGGAAUUCCACGUGUAGCGGUGAAAUGCGUAGAUAUGUGGAGGAACACCAGUGGCGAAGGCGACUCUCUGGUCUGUUUCUG
rnacentral:rRNA from 1 species